UCCAAUUAAGCAAAUCUCGAUUAGUCAAUUUUUCUAUCUCCAUUAGCGCACGCCACAAAAAUCAUCAGCCUUAGUUCUUCCUUCUCAUUCUUUGAUUCUCUAUUCUCAGCAGAAACCAAUCUCGAUUGAAUAUUAAUCCAUUCUUGAUUAGUCAAUUCUCGAUCAUGUUCUUUUUCUUUUGAUUCUCCAUUGUUGAUUGUUCAAAAUCAAACGUCAAAACUGAAAACUUCAAGGCUAUCAAGAAGACAAGAACUAAAAUCUGAAACGAUGUCUAAUGCAAAAAACGUUGCUGCGAGCUCAUUCACGCUAAUGAGCCUUUGUCAAAAAGUGACUUUCGAUGGAUCGAACUUUAGCGAAUGGAUAAGAUACAUUCGCAUGAUCGCUCAUUACGAGGACAAGGAGUAUGUUCUCGAUGAGAAGCUCAAAAAGAUCAAUCCAGAAACUGCUACUCCCGAAGAAAUGGCUGUGUUUGAAACACAUGAGUGUGAUGCAACGAAAGUCCAUUGCAUCAUGAUAGCCACUAUGAACUCCGAAUUCCAAAAGUCCUAUGAGGACAUGUAUCCUUAUGAGAUGCAUCUAGACUUGAUGGAGCGAUACCACCAAAGCGCGAGGCAAGAACGCUAUGAGAUCAUAACGAAUAUGAUCACUGCUAAAAUGGGAAGUGGAUAAUCUCUUACCGUGCACUUGCAAAAGAUGCAGAGGUAUGUCGAUCGUCUUCGCAAGUUGAAUGUCAACUUUGGGGAAGAUUUGGCUGUCGACAUUAUUAUUCAUUCCUUGCCCUCAUGCUACAAUCAAUUUAGGAUGACCUACCACAUGAACAAGGAAGAGGUCACCCUAAGCAAACUCCAAGGUCUCCUAAGGACUGCUGAGAGCAACCUUAAGGACAAGUCUGUUGCACCAUCUCCCAAUCCGUCUGCUGCUCCUGUUUUGGCUAUUGGGCAGGGAAAGGGCAAGAAGAGGAAGGCUUCUUAAAAGAACCACCACAAGGGAAAGUCCCAAGAUGGUUCCUCUUCUAGUGGGACCAAGGUUGAUCCUACUAAGCCCAACCCUAACCCAAAAGAGGCAGAGUGUCAUCAUUGCCACAAAAUAAGGCAUUGGAAGAGAAGCUGCCGGGAAUAUCUGCAAGCCAUAAAGGAUGGAAAGAUCAAGCCAUCUUUUGCAGGGACUAGGAAGAAAUAGGGAUGUGGAGCUUGAAAGAAUAAAUCUAAUCAUGGGGAACAGAAGAUCGUCGCCUGUUACCAAGAUUAGAGUGUAUUCUUUAGUGCUUAGUAAUGGAUUGAAUUUAGAUUUAAAUAAUUGUUGCUACUCACCAGAUAUGGCAAGAAGCAUCAUUUCUUUUCAUGGUUUGUUUAAACAAGGAUUUAGAUAUUCGUUUAAUAAUGAGAAUGGUUCGA